AUGGCGGAGCAGCCGCACGCCGAGGACGCGGGCCACAAGCCGGAGACCCUGAUGGAGAAGAUCGCCGACAAGCUCCACGUCGGCGGCGGCGACCACUCCUCCUCGUCCUCCGACUCCGACAAGGAGGAGCAGCCGCGCCCCUCGGCUCCGCCCGCCCCCGCCCCCGCCCCCGCCCCCGCCCCGGCCGCCUCCGAGGUCACCACCGCCUCCUUCGCCGCCUCCGCCACCGCGGCGGCGGCCGACGCCAAGAACAAGAUGUUCCGCCUCUUCGGCCGCGAGCAGCCCAUCCACAAGGUCCUCGGCGGAGGCAAACCUGCUGACGUGUUUAUGUGGAGGAACAAGCACAUCUCUGCUGGAGUACUAGGUGGUGCAACUGCAAUCUGGAUCCUUUUUGAAUUGCUUGGCUACCAUCUUCUGGCUUUCCUUGGCCAUGCUCUCAUAUUCUCUCUGGGUGUUCUCUUUCUAUGGUCUAAUGCCUCAUCAUUCAUUAACAAGUCUCCCCCAAGGAUUCCCGAGGUGAUCAUUCCUGAAGAUCUGGUUGUCAACAUUGCACUAUCUACACGUCAUGAGAUCAACAGAGCCUUCGCAAACCUUCGUCAGAUUGCUCUUGGCCGCGACAUAAAGAAGUUCCUUAUUGUGAUUGCUGGUCUAUGGCUGCUUUCCAUUCUUGGUAGUUGCUGCAACUUCUUGACGCUGUUCUACAUUGGUGAGGGAUCUCAACUGAGUAUACCAUUUUUAGCACCUCUUCUUCCCAAUGUGGAUUUGGUUUUUACAGUGGAUCUUUCUCUUCUAUGUCAAACAGUUUUUGUGGUUCUGCACACAGUGCCAGUAAUCUACGAGAAGUAUGAAGAUCAGAUUGAUACCUAUGGCGAGAAGGGGUGGAUUGAGGUUAAGAAACAGUAUGCUGUGUUUGAUGCCAAGGUUUUGAGCAAAGUGCCGAGGGGCCCCUUGAAAGACAAGAAGAACUAG
rnacentral:rRNA from 1 species